GCAAACCUCAGUCCGGAGAGAUGGAAGUGAUGAGGACUUUUGCUCCAAAUGGAAAAGGAGAAAACCUCAGGUCCUAGAGAUGCUCUCAGAGAUAGUUCUAAAGAGGAAGAUGAGGAAGACCCUUUGCUUCCAGGGAAGGAGAAGGGCCUCUAU